rnacentral:misc_RNA from 1 species
GUUGGUGAACCAGCGGAGGGAUCAUUACCGAGUUUUCAACUCACCAACCCAUUGUGAACUUAUUCUUGCUUCGGCGGGGGGCCUCGCGCCCGCCGCCGGGGGACCCAAAACUCUGUUUCUACGAAUCUCUGAGUAAAAAACAAAUAAAUCAAAACCUUUAACAACGGAUCUCUUGGCUCUG